UACGAAGGGGGCUAGCGUUGUUCGGAAUUACUGGGCGUAAAGCGCACGUAGGCGGACAUUUAAGUUGGAGGUGAAGGCCUUGGGCUCAACCCAAGAAUUGCCUUUGAUACUGGAUGUCUCGAGACCGGGAGAGGUGAGUGGAAUUCCGAGUGUAGAGGUGAAAUUCGUAGAUAUUCGGAAGAACACCAGUGGCGAAGGCGGCUCACUGGCCCGGUUCUGACGCUGAGGUGCGAAAGCGUGGGGAGCAAACAGG
rnacentral:rRNA from 1 species